rnacentral:lncRNA from 12 species
UGAGCACCUGGGCGCACCUGGGCGCACCUGGAUACACCUGGGCACGGCUGGAUACACCUGGACACACCUGGAAUUACCCUGGAACGAUCCUUGAAUUACCCUGAACUCACCUGGAUACACAUGGGCUUCCUGCCCUGAGCACCUGGGCGCACCUGGGCGCACCUGGGGACAACUGGAACUACCCUGAACUCACCUGGAAUUACCCGGAACUCACCUGGACACACCUGGAAUUACCCUGGCACUAUCCUGGAAUUACACUGAGCUCACCUGGGCGCACCUGGGCACAGCUGGGCACACCUGGAACUACCCUGGACAUGCCUGGAACUACGCUGGACACAUCUGGAUACACCUGAGCACACCUGGAUGUGCCCAGAACACACCUGGGCACACCUGGAUAUUCCCAGAACACACCUGGACACAUCUGGACAUGCCCAGAGCACACCUGGACGUGCCCAGAGCACACCUGGACACACCUGGACACACCUGGAUAUUCUCAGAACACACCUGGACGUGCCCAGAACACACCUGGACACACCUGGACACACCUGGACACACCUGGACACACCUGGACACACCUGGACACACCUGGACACACCUGGACACACCUGGACACACCUGGACACACCUGGAUAUUCCAAGAAUACACCUUGACACACCUGGACGUGCCCAGAGAACACCUGGACACACCUGGAUAUUCCCAGAACACACCUGGACACACCUGGACACACCUGGAUAUUCUCAGAACACACCUGGACACACCUGGACACACCUGGAUAUUCUCAGAACACACCUGGAACCUGUACACACCUGGGCGUUGGGAAUUUUGGUUGGGAAUUUUUUUUUUUUGGUUGUUCCAGGUUUUUUUCGUUUUAUUUUAUUUUUCUUUUUUUUUUUUUAAUGUUUUAAUUUCCUCAGUUAAUUUUUAUUCACCUUU